CAGAGGUUGUCUUGGAUGCUGUACUAAGCCCCCUUUGAUAAUUGCUGCUGACAAGCCAUCCAAGAGACUGAGAAUUUGAGGCCGAACAGUCAAGAAAUCAAGCAUUUCAGAGGAUUUUUGGAGCACCAGCACUUAUGAGAUGGACAAUAGUAUUGUUCAGUCCCACAGAAGUGGAUCAUCAAUGAGCACAUCAAAUCUACCCUUAGAUCCCCACAGCAGUGCUGGAAGCACGAGUAAUCCUACUGAAUUUGUAAAUCAUGGAAAAUUCAAAAAGUCUUCUUCUUUGGAAUUAUAUAAGACAGGAAUGAAUUGGAAAUAAGAGGUCUCAAAACCGUACAUAAGUUCCCAAACCCAAACUAAGGUUUUAUUGGCUGAUGAUAUCUAGGUUAUGAUCUUAGGUUACCAGCCGAAAUGUACUCGAUGGUAUAAAAAAUUGAGUCACUUGCUCGGCAGGUAAGUUCCAUAAACAAGACUGCAUCUGAUUUGCCAUGUCUGCUUGUUGAUGUUGUCUAUCGUUUAAUGGGCUUCAAAACAUAUUUAUUCAUGCCGAUUUAGUGUAGUGUAUUUUUAAUUGAGCUGUUCUCUGUGACAACACAAAUUUAAUGCGCCAAAUAGUAUUGAGUAUGGCCACUUGCUAGUUGGAACAAUAGACAAAUGGAGAUUCUUUUGUUUGGCACCAACACCAAUGUUGUGCUGUUAUAAUGUUGUAAUGCUAUAUGUUAUCUACAUAUCCAUUGAGUUCACUGUCAGGAUAAGUCAUAGAAAAAGGGCCCUAAACUUAGUUUGGGAGUUAGAGCCGAAUAUGUCCGAAACUUAGUUGAAAAAGAGCUUUUCAGGGGCGAAAAUUGAAAAGAGCCCCUGAACCACCGUUUGGCUCACACGGGCAG